GUAACAAGGUCUCCGUAGGUGAACCUGCGGAGGGAUCAUUACACAAAUAUGAAGCCGGACUGGGAUAGGGCCUCGCUGCCUUGCCCGUCUGGCGCCAUAUUCACCCAUGUCUUUUUGCGUACUACUUGUUUCCUUGGCGGGUCCGCCCGCCAAUUGGACCUUAUUCAAACCUUUUUUUCAGUUGCAAUCAGCGUCAGCAAAACAAAUGUAAUCAAUUACAACUUUCAACAACGGAUCUCUUGGUUCUGGCAUCGAUGAAGAACGCAGCGAAAUGCGAUAAGUAGUGUGAAUUGCAGAAUUCAGUGAAUCAUCGAAUCUUUGAACGCACAUUGCGCCCUUUGGUAUUCCAAAGGGCAUGCCUGUUCGAGCGUCAUUUGUACCCUCAAGCUUUGCUUGGUGUUGGGCGUCUUGUCUCUCUCCCGAGACUCGCCUUAAAAUCAUUGGCAGCCGGCCUACUGGUUUCGGAGCGCAGCACAUUAUUUGCGCUCUUGUCCAGCCGCGGUCGCGCGUCCAUGAAGCUUCUUUCAACCUUUUGACCUCGGAUCAGGUAGGGAUACCCGCUGAACUUAA
rnacentral:rRNA from 1 species